rnacentral:rRNA from 1 species
GACGAACGCUGGCGGCGUGCCUAAUACAUGCAAGUAGAACGCACAGUUUAUACCGUAGCUUGCUCCACCAUAGACUGUGAGUUGCGAACGGGUGAGUAACGCGUAGGUAACCUGCCUGGUAGCGGGGGAUAACUAUUGGAAACGAUAGCUAAUACCGCAUAAUAUUAAUUAUUGCAUGAUAAUUAAUUGAAAGGUGCAAUUGCACCACUACCAGAUGGACCUGCGUUGUAUUAGCUAGUAGGUGAGGUAACGGCUCACCUAGGCGACGAUACAUAGCCGACCUGAGAGGGUGAUCGGCCACACUGGGACUGAGACACGGCCCAGACUCCUACGGGAGGCAGCAGUAGGGAAUCUUAGGCAAUGGACGAAAGUCUGACCGAGCAACGCCGCGUGAGAGAAGAAGGUUUUCGGAUAGUAAAGCUCUGUUGUAAGAGAAGAACGGGUGUGAGAGUGGAAAGUUCACACUGUGACGGUAUCUUACCAGAAAGGGACGGCUAACUACGUG